CUGUAAAAUAAAGAGAAAUAUCCGAUUUUGUUUAUUUAAACAAAAUAAAUAAAUGCAUUUUUCACUUCAUGCUGUAUCUUAGUACAGUGAUAUUAACAAAAUAAAUUAAAAGAAAUAAAUUGGUGGACAUAAUCAAUGAAAAAGAAAAUUGAUCAUUACUAUACAUUUACUUACUUAAUACAAAUAUACACAGUAUAGUUAUCGGCACGAAUCUUGAGCUCUGACCUACAUCUGCGCAGAAGUGAUUUAUUAGCAAAGAACCAAUCCCGAGUGACGGCUAUGACGCGAUGCACUGCGGGCCAAUCACCGCUUUAGCCCGCCCCCGCGCCUCACUUCAUACCACAAA
rnacentral:lncRNA from 1 species